CAGGCGGGCUGGAGCCCAACAUGCUGUCGCUGGACCGCGGGAAGUGGUGCGUGCAGUCGCUGCGGUCGGA
rnacentral:ribozyme from 1 species